rnacentral:rRNA from 1 species
CGGACGGGUGAGUAACGCGUGGGUAACCUGCCUUGCACUGGGGGAUAACACUUAGAAAUAGGUGCUAAUACCGCAUAAGCGCACGGUCCUGCAUGGGACAGUGUGAAAAACUCCGGUGGUGCAAGAUGGACCCGCGUCUGAUUAGCUGGUUGGCGGGGUAAAGGCCCACCAAGGCGACGAUCAGUAGCCGGCCUGAGAGGGUGAACGGCCACAUUGGGACUGAGACACGGCCCAGACUCCUACGGAAGGCAGCAG